rnacentral:rRNA from 1 species
AUUGAACGCUGGCGGCAGGCUUAACACAUGCAAGUCGAACGGUAACAGGAGAGAGCUUGCUUUCUUGCUGACGAGUGGCGGACGGGUGAGUAAUGCUUGGGAAUCUGGCUUAUGGAGGGGGAUAACGACGGGAAACUGUCGCUAAUACCGCGUAGAGUCGAGAGACGAAAGUGCGGGACCGCAAGGCCGCAUGCCAUAGGAUGAGCCCAAGUGGGAUUAGGUAGUUGGUGGGGUAAUGGCCUACCAAGCCGACGAUCUCUAGCUGGUCUGAGAGGAUGACCAGCCACACCGGGACUGAGACACGGCCCGGACUCCUACGGGAGGCAGCAGUGGGGAAUAUUGCGCAAUGGGGGCAACCCUGACGCAGCCAUGCCGCGUGAAUGAAGAAGGCCUUCGGGUUGUAAAGUUCUUUCGGUGACGAGGAAGGCGUGAUGUUUAAUAGGCAUCACGAUUGACGUUAAUCACAGAAGAAGCACCGGCUAACUCCGUGCCAGCAGCCGCGGUAAUACGGAGGGUGCGAGCGUUAAUCGGAAUAACUGGGCGUAAAGGGCACGCAGGCGGCUAUUUAAGUGAGGUGUGAAAUCCCCGGGCUUAACCUGGGAAUUGCAUUUCAGACUGGGUAGCUAGAGUACUUUAGGGAGGGGUAGAAUUCCACGUGUAGCGGUGAAAUGCGUAGAGAUGUGGAGGAAUACCGAAGGCGAAGGCAGCCCCUUGGGAAUGUACUGACGCUCAUGUGCGAAAGCGUGGGGAGCAAACAGG